rnacentral:rRNA from 1 species
UACAGAGGUCUCGAGCGUUGUUCGGAUUCAUUGGGCGUAAAGGGUGCGUAGGCGGCGGGGCAAGUCUGAUGUGAAAUCCCGGGGCUCAACCCCGGAACUGCAUUGGAUACUGCCUUGCUAGAGUACUGGAGAGGAGACUGGAAUUUACGGUGUAGCAGUGAAAUGCGUAGAGAUCAUAAGGAAGACCAAUGGCGAAGGCAAGUCUCUGGACAGUUACUGACGUGAGGCACGAAGGCCAGGGGAGCAAAACGGGG